rnacentral:rRNA from 1 species
CUACGGAGGGUGCAAACGUUGUUCGGAAUCACUGGGCGUAAAGGGCGCGCAGGCGGUUUGAUUAGUCAGAUGUGAAAGCCCACGGCUUAACCGUGGAAGUGCAUUUGAAACUGUCAGACUUGAGUACCAGAGGGGGUAGUGGAAUUCCCGGUGUAGAGGUGAAAUUCGUAGAUAUCGGGAGGAAUACCGGUGGCGAAGGCGACUACCUGGCUGGAUACUGACGCUGAGGCGCGAAAGCGUGGGGAGCAAACAGGAUUAGAAACCCGAGUAGUCC